ACAAGGGCAUUGUGCGUUCAUCGUCCCUUUGCUCCCACGCAGCCUCCACCCGCCGGCCCUCAGGACGCGUUGCACGUACCCACUGGCUACACGGAGGCGGCAGCGGCGGGAAGGGCCCCAUAGCGCACCGCGCAGCCUUCCGGACACAGGAGUCCCUUCUCUCGUUCGCUCCCAAGCGGCCUCCCAGAAGGGGCAGAGGAGGCCAGAGAGGACGCAACACCAGCACGACCCCCACCCAAACCGGAAGCUCUCCUGGCUUCCCAGAGGCUACACAGAAGGUGCGCCCUAGCAUGAGACAAGCGGGUCAAUGAAGAGAGAAGAAAUCAAGAGGAUGAAGGGGAACCAGCAAGGACACAGAGGAGCCAGGAAGAGGACCAAGAGAAGGACACGAGAGACAGAUUCAUCCUCUUGGAAGCCACGUGAUAGGGCAUGAGAGAGUUUUCUGCUAAAUCCCCACAGCUGGAACUGUUGGGUGAAUAAACACCGUUAUCCCAGGAAGCUGCAGAUGGCUUUGUUCCUAAAUCACCUCCAGUCUGACGGGCCUGGGCCUGCUUCUAGAGUCGGAGAUCUUCUUUAGUUACUAAAGUAGCUUUGGAGUUUUCGUUGUUUUUUUGUGUCUUUGGACAUACACGAGAACUCUAAAAGAAGCCACAGCUAAACCUUUUGCUACACUGAAUUCUACCAUCUUCUUCCUUGAGCUUCCUGACUCCAUAUUCUGACGUUUUAGUGGGAUUCAUUUAAAGAGUCUUUGCUACCAAGAGUACCAGGAGUCAAGGAGCAACACGUGGUAAUUCCAUCUUCCCCAUCAUUCAACUGGCUUAGAGGUCACUUCCAGGGAAGUUGCCAGGUCUUCCGUGCCAAGAGGAUACUUCACUCUGAGGUUAGACACAGUCGUCUCAGGGGGUUCGUUCUGCUUUUCUAAUACGUACCUGGGAGAAGCCAGCGCUGCCUGCCACACCAGAAGUAUUCGUGUCCUGACCAUCCGUGGGGGCUUGGCUGGAGUUCCAGAGAGGCUCUCACAUGCGGGCCAGCUGUUGGCGAUUUUCUGUGCAUAUUUGGGAGAAUUCAUGUUGAGUGCUUUAGGCUGGCCAGCCAGUCGCCCACCAGGGUUGGGCUUGGCCUCUGCAGUUUGUCCAAGGCUGAGUCUGUCCUCAGACUCAGAAUAACCACCACCUUCCCCUCCAGGUGGUAUUAUCUGACAAUCCCUCCCAGAGCUAUGUUGGAGGCCUCCUCCUCUGUGCUCCCAUGGAAAUUCUGUACGUCUUAUCAGAUCACCUUUCACUUGCAAUUUGUCCCUACUGCUCUAUGGCUUCCUGAGGCAGGGAUGUAGUGUCACAGCACUAACAAUUAGCAUAGUUCCUAGGGUAUUGUACCUAUGAAAGAAGCCUGCCCAGUGGCAAGCCAGAGGAACUCCAAGCACCGUCCUCCAGGAUGUAAACCUUGGUCAUCUGCAGCUCCUCCCCCGUCCUCAUCCCUCAUCCCACUCACACACUGCAACGUUCCAAAUGGAAGCACACCAGAUGCAGAACUGGCAUAGGGGACGAUAAACUGGAGACUUAGACUACAGUCUAGUGAGAGGCUGGAAUAAACAAUC